UACUCCUACGGGAGGCAGCAGUGGGGAAUUUUGGACAAUGGGCGCAAGCCUGAUCCAGCAAUGCCGCGUGCAGGAAGAAGGCCUUCGGGUUGUAAACUGCUUUUGUACGGAACGAAACGGUCUGGGUUAAUACCCUGGGCUAAUGACGGUACCGUAAGAAUAAGCACCGGCUAACUACGUGCCAGCAGCCGCGGUAAUACGUAGGGUGCAAGCGUUAAUCGGAAUUACUGGGCGUAAAGCGUGCGCAGGCGGUGAUGUAAGACAGUCGUGAAAUCCCCGGGCUCAACCUGGGAAUUGCGAUUGUGACUGCAUCGCUGGAGUGCGGCAGAGGGGGAUGGAAUUCCGCGUGUAGCAGUGAAAUGCGUAGAUAUGCGGAGGAACACCGAUGGCGAAGGCAAUCCCCUGGGCCUGCACUG
rnacentral:rRNA from 1 species